rnacentral:rRNA from 1 species
UACAGAGGGGGCAAGCGUUAUUCGGAAUUAUUGGGCGUAAAGGGCGCGUAGGCGGUCUUGCAAGUGGAAGGUGAAAUCCCUCGGCUUAACCGAGGAACUGCCCUCCAAACUGCUUGGCUUGAGUCCGGGAGAGGUGAGUGGAAUUCCCAGUGUAGCGGUGAAAUGCGUAGAUAUUGGGAGGAACACCAGUGGCGAAGGCGGCUCACUGGACCGGAACUGACGCUGAGGCGCGAAAGCGUGGGGAGCAAACGGG